rnacentral:lncRNA from 1 species
GCAGAAGACGCGGCCGCCACGGCUCAGGCACACGCGGGCGCCCGGGGGCUGCGCGGCCGCGCCGCAGAAGGUGAAGGAACAGCGCGAGGCACGCAGCCGCCGCACCGUGGCGCGCACGAGCUCAGCCGGCCGGCGACCCCAGCGCGCCCACAGGACAGUGGCAGCCGGAAAGUGGGUUCCUGCAUGGUAACAAGACCUUAAAAUUGUGUCACUGGAGAAGGACGUGCAGUUCCCGCUGAGGAGAGACUUGGCCACUCCAGGACAACACAGGACUACAAGUCAGGAAUUUGAAGAUGAAAAGUGCUCAACAGUGAUAAAUCCUAAAUGUUUCACUGAACAACCUUUCAGAUAGCCUUCUUGAAGUUUGCUGAAUUAUGGCUAUAAGGACCACUCCCCACCCCUGCUAGAUGAAGUCUCACUUGCCCAGGUUGCAGUGAGCCGAGAUUGCACCACUGCACUCAAGCCUGGGUGACAGAAAAAGACUCCAUCUC